UACGGAGGGGGCUAGCGUUGUUCGGAAUUACUGGGCGUAAAGCGCGCGUAGGCGGACCUGCAAGUCGGGGGUGAAAGCCCGAGGCUCAACCUCGGAACUGCCUUCGAUACUGCGGGUCUCGAGUCCGGGAGAGGUGAGUGGAAUUCCUAGUGUAGAGGUGAAAUUCGUAGAUAUUAAGGAAGAACACCAGUGGCGAAAGGCGGCU
rnacentral:rRNA from 1 species